GUUUUUAGCCUCACCAGAAGUCUUUCAUCUCGGUGGUCCAACUCAGGAUCUCAGCCUCAUUAUUUUCUUACCCUUCUGGAGUGCAUAUGUGCCUUUACAGUUUCUGUUUGCAAACGCUGUCUAGCAUACUAAGAGGAUGUUAGCAAACCUGUUCCAUGGACACUAAAUGGCAGUUGUACAUCUCCCCUCAUCAGUCAUAGUGACAACCAGAAAUGCCCUCCAUAUUUUCCAGUGAUCCCAGUCUUCAAUGCGUCUGUCUCAUAAUUUGUAAACGUUUAUUAUCUUGAAGUCAUUGUUAAUCUGUGGUGAAAAGUAAUUGCUAAAUAGAAAUUCUGAGAAGAAAAAGGCCUCAUCCUUUUCACAUGAUGUAGGAAGGUCUGUUGCAUGAGGUGGGUUUUAAGAAUGAUUUUAUACAAAAAAUUGAACUGAAAAAAAUUUCAUGAAGUAUAUAAUGAUAAAGAAUGAUAACGUCCUCAAAACCUUUCACACAAUGAAAUGUCUCUAUCCUAAUGUGUCACUGUAUUUUUUUCUAGUGAAAUAUCUGUAGGGUUUUUUUGGAUCUAAAUCAAUGGAAAGUUUUAGAAUUUAAAAUAAAUUUGAAAAGUAUUUAAAUUAUUUUAUUUAAAAUUUUUGUACAAUAAUUUUAAUGGUUGUUUUAAUCUUAGGCUAAAGUUUAUGUAAAAUGCCAAAAGCUACUGUAUUUUAAAAGAAUUUCUUCUUAGGGUAAUUUUACAAUCAUAAGGCACUUUUUAAUUAUUAUUUAGGGAAGUGAAUUAAAAGUUACAGAGUGACAUUUUCAGUUGCAGUGGAAGAAACAGGAUAAAUUACUCUAUCGCCUCUCAAAUAACAUUCAAAACCCUUUCUUGAAAAUGGUCUAUCUUGAGAGUUGCAGCAGUAGGGAACUCAUUAAAUAUGAACAGGUAAUUUUAAUGCCUAAUGGUUUUUAAAAAACUGAAGAAAGUUCAUCUCAACAUAGCUGGGAAAGAAACUCUUUAAUGUUCUUUUAGAAAUUUACUGACAAAUAAAUGGGGAGAAGCUUUUUCAAAAA
rnacentral:lncRNA from 10 species